GACGAACGCUGGCGGCGUGCUUAACACAUGCAAGUCGAACGGAAAGGCCUGCUUUCCCUUGUGGAUUGCGGGUACUCGAGUGGCGAACGGGUGAGUAACACGUGAGUGAUCUGCCCCCAACUUGGGUAUAAGCCUGGGAAACUGGGUCUAAUUCCCGAUAGGACUGCAGGGUGGUGCCUGUGGUGGAAAACGAUUUUCUAGUGGUUGGGGAUGAGCUCGCGGCCUAUCAGCUUGUUGGUGGGGUAAUGGCCUACCAAGGCGGCGACGGGUAGCCGGCCUGGGAUGGUGGACGGCGGCUUUGGGACUGCGUCACCGCCCCGACUCCUACGGGAGGCAGCAGUGGGGAAUAUUGCACAAUGAGCGGAAGCCUGCAGCAGCGACGCCGCGUGGGGCGUGUCGGCCUUCGUGUUGUAAUCUCCUUUCGACCGCGAGGAAGCCACCUGGUUGGAAGGGUGGUGACGGUAGUGGUAGAAGAAGCACCGGCUAACUACGUG
rnacentral:rRNA from 1 species